UACGGGGGGAGCAAGCGUUGUUCGGAAUUACUGGGCGUAAAGCGUGCGCAGGCGGUUCGUUGUGUCGGUGGUGAAAUCCCCGGGCUUAACCUGGGAAUGGCCAUGGAAACUGGCGAACUGGAGUGCGGCAGAGGGGGGUGGAACUCCGCGUGUAGCAGUGAAAUGCGUAGAGAUGCGGAGGAACACCGAUGGCGAAGGCAGCCCCCUGGGCUAGGACUGACGCUCAGGCACGAAAGCGUGGGGAGCAAACAGG
rnacentral:rRNA from 1 species